GUUAGCUGUGAUGCUCAUAUGAGUCUGUAGCCUAUCUGAUUUAAAAUGGGAUAGCAAUUUCGGCAGAAUAUGUUAUGCGUCAACUUUUAUCGGCUGGAUUCUAGCAUCUAACGUUACGAUUGCCUCUGUUGGGUUUGCUUGAUCAACCAUCGUUUCGGGGACUCUGAUGACAGUGAAGAGCCAGAAAAUGGUGACUUUGCAUCUCUGAGGUACCUUCCAACUCGCCUGGUAUAUCAGUUGAAGCCUCAAGCCCAAGCCAAUUGCACUGGCAAACUCCACCAUGU